rnacentral:rRNA from 1 species
AGAGUUUGAUCCUGGCUCAGGAUGAACGCUGGCGGCGUGCCCAAUACAUGCAAGUCGAACGCUUCACUUCGGUGAAGAGUGGCGAACGGGUGAGUAAUACAUAAGUAACCUGGCAUCUACAGGGGGAUAACUGAUGGAAACGUCAGCUAAGACCGCAUAGGUGUAGAGAUCGCAUGAACUCUAUAUGAAAAGUGCUACGGGACUGGUAGAUGAUGGACUUAUGGCGCAUUAGCUUGUUGGUAGGGUAACGGCCUACCAAGGCGACGAUGCGUAGCCGACCUGAGAGGGUGACCGGCCACACUGGGACUGAGACACGGCCCAGACUCCUACGGGAGGCAGCAGUAGGGAAUUUUCGGCAAUGGGGGAAACCCUGACCGAGCAACGCCGCGUGAAGGAAGAAGUAAUUCGUUAUGUAAACUUCUGUCAUAGAGGAAGAACGGUGGAUAUAGGGAAUGAUAUCCAAGUGACGGUACUCUAUAAGAAAGCCACGGCUAACUACGUGCCAGCAGCCGCGGUAAUACGUAGGUGGCGAGCGUUAUCCGGAAUUAUUGGGCGUAAAGAGGGAGCAGGCGGCACUAAGGGUCUGUGGUGAAAGAUCGAAGCUUAACUUCGGUAAGCCAUGGAAACCGUAGAGCUAGAGUGUGUGAGAGGAUCGUGGAAUUCCAUGUGUAGCGGUGAAAUGCGUAGAUAUAUGGAGGAACACCAGUGGCGAAGGCGACGAUCUGGCGCAUAACUGACGCUCAGUCCCGAAAGCGUGGGGAGCAAAUAGGAUUAGAUACCCUAGUAGUCCACGCCGUAAACGAUGAGAAGGAAGUGUUGGGUGUCAAAGGUCAGGCCUGCAGUAAACGCAACAAGUACUCCGCCUGAGAAGUACGUUCGCAAGAAAUGAAACUCAAAGGAAUUGACGGGGGCCCGCUCCAGCGGUGGAGCAAGUGGUUUAAUUCGAAGCAACGCGAAGAACCUUACCAGGUCUUGACAUUGUUCUAAAGGCUCCAGAGAUGGAGAGAUAGCUAUAGAGAAGACAGGUGGUGCAUGGUUGUCGUCAGCUCGUGUCGUGAGAUGUUGGGUUAAGUCCCGCAACGAGCGCAACCCCUGUUGCCAGUUGCCAGCAUUAAGUUGGGGACUCUGGCGAGACUGCCGGUGACAAGCCGGAGGAAGGCGGGGAUGACGUCAAAUCAUCAUGCCCCUUAUGACCUGGGCUACACACGUGCUACAAUGGACAGAGCAGAGGGAAGCGAAGCCGCGAGGUGGAGCGAAACCCAUAAAACUGUUCUCAGUUCGGACUGCAGUCUGCAACUCGACUGCACGAAGAUGGAAUCGCUAGUAAUCGCGAAUCAGCAUGUCGCGGUGAAUACGUUCUCGGGCCUUGCACUCACCGCCCGUCA